ensembl:lncRNA
GCCCGUUCUCCAGGUGAGGACUCGAAAAGAUGAUGGGCUCUCCCCAGAACUUGACUUUGCUGGCAUCUUGAGCUCAGACUUGCAACCUGCAAAAGAAUCUCCCACCAGCUUCAGAAGGACUUUCACCUGGAACCAGGAGGAAGUGCAAUUGACUAGCGUGUGACGCUUGGAGCUGUGUUAGAAACUAACUCGGGGCUUCUCAGGUAUUGGAGAUUAUUCCACUGGUAUUGGUGGCUCAGAUGGUAAAUCUCCCAGCCAAUGCAGGAGAUGCAGGUUCCUUCCCUGGGUCAGAAAGAGCCUCUGGAGGAGGAAAUGGCACCCCACUCCAGUGUUCUUGCCUGGAGAAUUCCAGAGGCAGAGGAGUCUGGCGGGCUACAGUCUGUGAGGUCUCAGAGUCGGACACGACUGAGUGACUGAGCAUUCAUUCCAGAACAAAGUGCUUUAAAGGCUCCUUUAAAUAGCAAACCCCUAAUGCCUUUAGACUAACUUGAUUAUCAAGAAGAAAACAUUAUUUCAAAAUCACCUGUGACUUUAAAACUAUUCAUGAUGCAAGCAGGUGUCCAUGUGCACCUGUAACGCACUGCCUGCUGGGAACAGAGACAGCGUUCCUCCUCACCAGUGUCCAGCGGAAACAGUCGCCAGGCUCAUCGUUCAGAGGACGAAGUUUGUUUGACUUAUUACCUGAGGGAAAGGAAGCAGGCGACAAAGCUGGCUGAUAUUUUUAGAAAACUAGCAACAUUUUGAGCUGGCCCUUAGCAAGAUUAGAUGUGGUGUGAGGAGCUGAGUCCUGGAUAUAAUUCUCGAGAAAAAGGAGGGUGCUGGAGACGUCUGGGUGUUUGCAGGAAGGUAGAGGAGAAGGUCCCGGAGUUCAAGGCGGCUGAGCUCCAGGAGGACUGACAGCGGCCACUUUGUGAUGAUCAAACCACCUGCAGCCGGGAGCGUUAGAGCGCCCUCUGGGGACCGCUGGCGGGACCGGCGUGGGGGCAGGGCGCCGUCAGCCUUUCUCAGUGUUGUUCACCGCCUGUGUCCUUUUUCUACAAAUACCCCAUGGUAGAUGAGUGUGGUCUUCAUAGCUAUUGCAUCAAUGAUGACUUUAUCCUGCAUUUUUUGAGGGAGGUGACUAAGUAAGGUGAUUUAAGGUUAAGAUCACAGACUUUGGAGC